UACAGAGGGUGCAAGCGUUAAUCGGAUUUACUGGGCGUAAAGCGCGCGUAGGUGGCCAAUUAAGUCAAAUGUGAAAUCCCCGAGCUUAACUUGGGAAUUGCAUUCGAUACUGGUUGGCUAGAGUAUGGGAGAGGAUGGUAGAAUUCCAGGUGUAGCGGUGAAAUGCGUAGAGAUCUGGAGGAAUACCAAUGGCGAAGGCAGCCAUCUGGCCUAAUACUGACACUGAGGUGCGAAAGCAUGGGGAGCAAACAGG
rnacentral:rRNA from 1 species